AAAAUUGUUAACUGUGUCUGAUAUGAAAAUUACACUAGUCAUAGUCCCAUGAAAUAAUACAUAGCAAAUAACACAUAUACUGAAUUUCCGUUGUUUUGUUUAUUUUUGGUAAAAUCAAAUGUGACGUUGUUUGUAAUUAUGGCAAUGUCUGCCCCGAGACCGCACAAAACACUUCCACUACGAGAAAAAACGGCAGCCGUGAGGCGAUUCCUGGAUGUCAUCAUCUCCAUACGAUUAUCUCUAUAAAAUGAUCUCUUGGCCAUGACAUAUUAUUACACUCCCACGAGUUAAUAUGACGUUCCCAAAAAAUAAAUAUCUUGUGGCCACAACGUAUUAUCACGUUUCCACGAGUUAAUAUGUUGUGGCCAUGACAAAACUAGCCUUAGUUUCUAACUAACUAUAGCUGUGUCUCAUUUAGAAGGGUGCGCCCUCCGGAGGUCGCAUUCGAAGGCUGCAUAUGUCAUCGAGGCAGUCUCAUUUAAAAAAAGCAAGUAGGACACUCCGAAUGUGACCUUCGAAUGCGCCCUUCUUUCACAGCAAUUCGGAGGAUGCAUGAGGUGUAUCCUUCACUGCUACAUAUAACCCACAUUAGGGCUUGGGCGCCGCGUUGCAUUCUGGGAUGUGGAGGCCAUGUUGAUGGCUUCGUGAAUGUAAACAUACAGCAAGUCGAACGAGAAGAAACAGAGUUGGGAGAAAGAAAAAAUAUGUUAAAAUCGCGAAAAGGUUGUGGGAUUUACAGGGAUACGCUAAGUAGGGAUGCCAGGGAUCGAUAUCUUCGGCUACCUUGUUUGUUUUGUGAGCGCCUACACUUCAGAACAGUUCCGAAGCUACAAGUCAUUGGAGUCUCAUGUGCAGUUCACAAAUGGAUGGGUUAAGGAGCUGCAGAUCAUAAAGCCGGCAAACAGUAUACAGUAAUCCGGACAAAGGUAAACUGCACUCCGCCUAGUUGCUAGUUUACUAACCGUUAGUGCUAACAACCAUUCACAUGUACUUUUAACUAACUUAUGUGUUUCAAAAGUUUAGUUAGUAGCUGUCAACCCUCCCGUUUUUUUCCAGGGUUCUCAUGUAUUUGAGCUCUUUUCCCGCUGUCUUCCCGUUGUAGUAUUUUCCUGUAAAAUAUCCCGUUAGCCCUUCCAUCGGACCUGUCAGUCUCAGCAACAGAAAGAUGAAUGUAGAAAUUUUCCCGUAUUUUGGAUGAGUAACCCAGGAAAUUUCCCUUAUUUUCAGUGUUUACUUAAGCUAUAUAAAUUAAUAUUCAGAUAUUAUACCUCACUUGGUCUCCGUGGUCGCGCCUCCAAGCAGGAAAGCAGUGGAAAGUUAAUCCAUUUUUUUUCAAAGGGCGAUUAUGUGUUGCGCUAUUACACCCCACAAUACAGCAACGGUUUACCAUGGUUGAAAUAGAUUUUUAAUUUAUCAAAUUAAGACACACGGCUGAGAGGGAGUAUGUCUAAACACUGCGCAGUAGUCCGAGUAGCAGUAAAGAAGGCCAUCAACAUGGCGGCCACGCCAAGUAAUGACGUCACGACGCCCAAGCCCUAUUCUUUGCGUCGCCGUAAACAACUGUCUUUAAUUUGAAAAAUGCCGGUGUCAGCAGAUGUAAACACGAGCGCAGAUGUGAUGUUUACAACUUAACGUAACGUUACCUUAAAUCGCCUAAGAUAAAAACGGAUGAAAUUUUCCUAAAUAUCCUUCUCAUUUUUCUCUAACUGAUGUCUUUUGUACAUACGCUGUAGCUCCUCAAAAGUUUAACAAAAUAAAACAAGUUAAAGCAUUUUUUUUAAUUACUUU
ensembl:lncRNA